UGCGUAGGCUGUGCAGAAAGUUGGGUGUGAAAUCCCUCGGCUUAACCGAGGAACUGCGCCCAAAACUACUGUGCUCGAGUGAGAUAGAGGUGAGCGGAACUUAGGGUGGAGCGGUGAAAUGCGUUGAUAUCCUAAGGAACACCGGUGGCGAAAGCGGCUCACUGGGUCUCAACUGACGCUGAUGCACGAAAGCUAGGGGAGCGAACGGGAUUAGAUACCCCGGUAGUCCUAGCCGUAAACGAUGAGCACUGGGUUGGAGGGUCCUCCAUAGCCCUCCAGCCGAAGCGAAAGUGUUAAGUGCUCCGCCUGGGGAGUAUGGUCGCAAGGCUGAA
rnacentral:rRNA from 1 species